rnacentral:rRNA from 1 species
GGGUUGUGAGGUUAAGCGACUAAGCGUACACGGUGGAUGCCCUGGCAGUCAGAGGCGAUGAAGGACGUGCUAAUCUGCGAUAAGCGUCGGUAAGGUGAUAUGAACCGUUAUAACCGGCGAUUUCCGAAUGGGGAAACCCAGUGUGUUUCGACACACUAUCAUUAACUGAAUCCAUAGGUUAAUGAGGCGAACCGGGGGAACUGAAACAUCUAAGUACCCCGAGGAAAAGAAAUCAACCGAGAUUCCCCCAGUAGCGGCGAGCGAACGGGGAGCAGCCCAGAGCCUGAAUCAGUGUGUGUGUUAGUGGAAGCGUCUGGAAAGGCGCGCGAUACAGGGUGACAGCCCCGUACACAAAAAUGCACAUGCUGUGAGCUCGAUGAGUAGGGCGGGACACGUGGUAUCCUGUCUGAAUAUGGGGGGACCAUCCUCCAAGGCUAAAUACUCCUGACUGACCGAUAGUGAACCAGUACCGUGAGGGAAAGGCGAAAAGAACCCCGGCGAGGGGAGUGAAAAAGAACCUGAAACCGUGUACGUACAAGCAGUGGGAGCACGCUUAGGCGUGUGACUGCGUACCUUUUGUAUAAUGGGUCAGCGACUUAUAUUCUGUAGCAAGGUUAACCGAAUAGGGGAGCCGAAGGGAAACCGAGUCUUAACUGGGCGUUAAGUUGCAGGGUAUAGACCCGAAACCCGGUGAUCUAGCCAUGGGCAGGUUGAAGGUUGGGUAACACUAACUGGAGGACCGAACCGACUAAUGUUGAAAAAUUAGCGGAUGACUUGUGGCUGGGGGUGAAAGGCCAAUCAAACCGGGAGAUAGCUGGUUCUCCCCGAAAGCUAUUUAGGUAGCGCCUCGUGAAUUCAUCUCCGGGGGUAGAGCACUGUUUCGGCAAGGGGGUCAUCCCGACUUACCAACCCGAUGCAAACUGCGAAUACCGGAGAAUGUUAUCACGGGAGACACACGGCGGGUGCUAACGUCCGUCGUGAAGAGGGAAACAACCCAGACCGCCAGCUAAGGUCCCAAAGUCAUGGUUAAGUGGGAAACGAUGUGGGAAGGCCCAGACAGCCAGGAUGUUGGCUUAGAAGCAGCCAUCAUUUAAAGAAAGCGUAAUAGCUCACUGGUCGAGUCGGCCUGCGCGGAAGAUGUAACGGGGCUAAACCAUGCACCGAAGCUGCGGCAGCGACGCUGAUGCGUUGUUGGGUAGGGGAGCGUUCUGUAAGCCUGCGAAGGUGUGCUGUGAGGCAUGCUGGAGGUAUCAGAAGUGCGAAUGCUGACAUAAGUAACGAUAAAGCGGGUGAAAAGCCCGCUCGCCGGAAGACCAAGGGUUCCUGUCCAACGUUAAUCGGGGCAGGGUGAGUCGACCCCUAAGGCGAGGCCGAAAGGCGUAGUCGAUGGGAAACAGGUUAAUAUUCCUGUACUUGGUGUUACUGCGAAGGGGGGACGGAGAAGGCUAUGUUGGCCGGGCGACGGUUGUCCCGGUUUAAGCGUGUAGGCUGGUUUUCCAGGCAAAUCCGGAAAAUCAAGGCUGAGGCGUGAUGACGAGGCACUACGGUGCUGAAGCAACAAAUGCCCUGCUUCCAGGAAAAGCCUCUAAGCAUCAGGUAACAUCAAAUCGUACCCCAAACCGACACAGGUGGUCAGGUAGAGAAUACCAAGGCGCUUGAGAGAACUCGGGUGAAGGAACUAGGCAAAAUGGUGCCGUAACUUCGGGAGAAGGCACGCUGAUAUGUAGGUGAGGUCCCUCGCGGAUGGAGCUGAAAUCAGUCGAAGAUACCAGCUGGCUGCAACUGUUUAUUAAAAACACAGCACUGUGCAAACACGAAAGUGGACGUAUACGGUGUGACGCCUGCCCGGUGCCGGAAGGUUAAUUGAUGGGGUUAGCGCAAGCGAAGCUCUUGAUCGAAGCCCCGGUAAACGGCGGCCGUAACUAUAACGGUCCUAAGGUAGCGAAAUUCCUUGUCGGGUAAGUUCCGACCUGCACGAAUGGCGUAAUGAUGGCCAGGCUGUCUCCACCCGAGACUCAGUGAAAUUGAACUCGCUGUGAAGAUGCAGUGUACCCGCGGCAAGACGGAAAGACCCCGUGAACCUUUACUAUAGCUUGACACUGAACAUUGAGCCUUGAUGUGUAGGAUAGGUGGGAGGCUUAGAAGUGUGGACGCCAGUCUGCAUGGAGCCGACCUUGAAAUACCACCCUUUAAUGUUUGAUGUUCUAACGUUGACCCGUAAUCCGGGUUGCGGACAGUGUCUGGUGGGUAGUUUGACUGGGGCGGUCUCCUCCUAAAGAGUAACGGAGGAGCACGAAGGUUGGCUAAUCCUGGUCGGACAUCAGGAGGUUAGUGCAAUGGCAUAAGCCAGCUUGACUGCGAGCGUGACGGCGCGAGCAGGUGCGAAAGCAGGUCAUAGUGAUCCGGUGGUUCUGAAUGGAAGGGCCAUCGCUCAACGGAUAAAAGGUACUCCGGGGAUAACAGGCUGAUACCGCCCAAGAGUUCAUAUCGACGGCGGUGUUUGGCACCUCGAUGUCGGCUCAUCACAUCCUGGGGCUGAAGUAGGUCCCAAGGGUAUGGCUGUUCGCCAUUUAAAGUGGUACGCGAGCUGGGUUUAGAACGUCGUGAGACAGUUCGGUCCCUAUCUGCCGUGGGCGCUGGAGAACUGAGGGGGGCUGCUCCUAGUACGAGAGGACCGGAGUGGACGCAUCACUGGUGUUCGGGUUGUCAUGCCAAUGGCACUGCCCGGUAGCUAAAUGCGGAAGAGAUAAGUGCUGAAAGCAUCUAAGCACGAAACUUGCC